AACGAACGCUGGCGGCAGGCUUAACACAUGCAAGUCGAGCGCCCCGCAAGGGGAGCGGCAGACGGGUGAGUAACGCGUGGGAAUCUACCCAUCUCUACGGAAUAACGCAUGGAAACGUGUGCUAAUACCGUAUACGUCCUUCGGGAGAAAGAUUUAUCGGAGAUGGAUGAGCCCGCGUUGGAUUAGCUAGUUGGUGGGGUAAAGGCCUACCAAGGCGACGAUCCAUAGCUGGUCUGAGAGGAUGAUCAGCCACACUGGGACCGAGACACGGCCCAGACUCCUGCGGGAGGCAGCAGUGGGGAAUAUUGGACAAUGGGCGCAAGCCUGAUCCAGCCAUGCCGCGUGAGUGAUGAAGGCCCUAGGGUUGUAAAGCUCUUUCACCGGUGAAGAUAAUGACGGUAACCGGAGAAGAAGCCCCGGCUAACUUCGUGCCAGCAGCCGCAGUAAGAC
rnacentral:rRNA from 1 species